rnacentral:rRNA from 1 species
UUAAUUAGGCAUAGCUCCAUUUACCGUUUAGCUGGCAGAAGAAGCCCCGGCUAACUCCGUGCCAGCCAGCCGCGGUAAUACGGAGGGUGCGAGCGUUAAUCGGAAUUACUGGGCGUAAAGCGCAUGCAGGUGGUUUGUUAAGUCAGAUGUGAAAGCCCGGGGCUCAACCUCGGAAUUGCAUUUGAAACUGGCAAACUAGAGUACUGUAGAGGGGGGUAGAAUUUCAGGUGUAGCGGUGAAAUGCGUAGAGAUCUGAAGGAAUACCGGUGGCGAAGGCGGCCCCCUGGACAGAUACUGACACUCAGAUGCGAAAGCGUGGGGAGCAAACAGGAUUAGAUACCCUGGUAGUCCACGCCGUAAACGAUGUCUACUUGGAGGUUGUGGCCUUGAGCCGUGGCUUUCGGAGCUAACGCGUUAAGUAGACCGCCUGGGGAGUACGGUCGCAAGAUUAAAACUCAAAUGAAUUGACGGGGGCCCGCACAAGCGGUGGAGCAUGUGGUUUAAUUCGAUGCAACGCGAAGAACCUUACCUACUCUUGACAUCUACAGAAGCCAGCGGAGACGCAGGUGUGCCUUCGGGAACUGUAAGACAGGUGCUGCAUGGCUGUCGUCAGCUCGUGUUGUGAAAUGUUGGGUUAAGUCCCGCAACGAGCGCAACCCUUAUCCUUGUUUGCCAGCACUUCGGGUGGGAACUCCAGGGAGACUGCCGGUGAUAAACCGGAGGAAGGUGGGGACGACGUCAAGUCAUCAUGGCCCUUACGAGUAGGGCUACACACGUGCUACAAUGGCGCAUACAGAGGGCGGCCAACUUGCGAAAGUGAGCGAAUCCCAAAAAGUGCGUCGUAGUCCGGAUUGGAGUCUGCAACUCGACUCCAUGAAGUCGGAAUCGCUAGUAAUCGUGGAUCAGAAUGCCACGGUGAAUACGUUCCCGGGCCUUGUACACACCGCCCGUCACACCAUGGGAGUGGGCUGCAAAAGAAGUGGGUAGUUUAACCUUCGGGAGGACGCUCACCACUUUGUGGUUCAUGACUGGGGGGAAGUCGUAACAAGGUAACCG